AGUGAACGCUGGCGGUAGGCCUAACACAUGCAAGUCGAACGGCAGCACAGUAAGAGCUUGCUCUUACGGGUGGCGAGUGGCGGACGGGUGAGGAAUACAUCGGAAUCUACUUUUUCGUGGGGGAUAACGUAGGGAAACUUACGCUAAUACCGCAUACGACCUACGGGUGAAAGCAGGGGAUCUUCGGACCUUGCGCGAUUGAAUGAGCCGAUGUCGGAUUAGCUAGUUGGUGGGGUAAAGGCCCACCAAGGCGACGAUCCGUAGCGGGUCUGAGAGGAUGAUCAGCCACACUGGAACUGAGACACGGUCCAGACUCCUACGGGAGGCAGCAGUGGGGAAUAUUGGACAAUGGGCGCAAGCCUGAUCCAGCCAUACCGCGUGGGUGAAGAAGGCCUUCGGGUUGUAAAGCCCUUUUGUUGGGAAAGAAAAGCAGCAGGUUAAUACCCCGCUGUUCUGACGGUACCCAAAGAAUAAGCACCGGCUAACUUCGUG
rnacentral:rRNA from 1 species